rnacentral:rRNA from 1 species
GAUGAACGCUGGCGGCGUGCCUAACACAUGCAAGUCGAACGGAGAUUUAACGCUGAUGAAGCUUCGGCAGAUUCUUGUUAAAUCUUAGUGGCGGACGGGUGAGUAACGCGUGGGCAACCUGCCUCAUACUGGGGGAUAACAGCUGGAAACGACUGUUAAUACCGCAUAAGCGCACGGUAUCGCAUGAUACAGUGUGAAAAACUCCGGUGGUAUGAGAUGGGCCCGCGUCAGAUUAGCCAGUUGGCAGGGUAACGGCCUACCAAAGCGACGAUCUGUAGCCGGCCUGAGAGGGCGGACGGCCACAUUGGGACUGAGACACGGCCCAAACUCCUACGGGAGGCAGCAGUGGGGGAUAUUGCACGAAUGGAGGAAACUCUGAUGCAGCGACGCCGCGUGAGUGAAGAAGUAUUUCGGUAUGUAAAGCUCUUCAGCAGGGAAGAAAGACUCGCAG